rnacentral:rRNA from 1 species
GACGAACGCUGGCGGCGUGCUUAACACAUGCAAGUCGAACGGAAAGGCCCUGCUUUUGUGGGGUGCUCGAGUGGCGAACGGGUGAGUAACACGUGAGUAACCUGCCCUUGACUUUGGGAUAACUUCAGGAAACUGGGGCUAAUACCGGAUAGGAGCUCCUGCUGCAUGGUGGGGGUUGGAAAGUUUCGGCGGUUGGGGCUGGACUCGCGGCGUAUCAGCUUGUUGGUGGGGGAGUGGCUUACGAAGGCUUUGACGGUUAGCCGGCCUGAGAGGGUGAGCAGCAACAAUAGGAUACUGAUACGGCACAGACUAAUCAGGAAGGCAGUGCUGGGAUACAAAACGAGAUGCAAGAAGGGAUGAUGCGCAUACACCGCGCGCCGGAACGCCGCAUUCCGAUAGUAAAGCGAUUUGGCCUGUAACGAAGCGUUAGUGACGAUAAUGGGUAAAGAAGCACCGGCUAACUACGUA